CCGCGCUCUUCUCUCCGGCCCCAGCCGCAGGGCGCGGCGCCUCCUAGCGGAGCCGGAGCAGAUCCCGCCGCCGGUUCCCCUUCUCGCGAGAAUCCCCCCAUUCCGACGGGGUUAUGUAACCCGCUCCCCUCCAUCUCUCUCUCUUUUUUUAAAGAUCCCGCUUCCUGUUAGGACAGGAUAAGAGGAGGAGGGAUGACGGGAAAUUAAGUUCCAUUCUUGGGGUUCAGUCACCCCUUUAUUCCCCUUCACCCCGGGGGGCUCGUCCCCCUCCUCUCCGGCCGGACAAUGAGUCCCAUAUGCUAAUGAGGACCCCGCGUCACUUCCGCUCUUUCUCGGCCGCCAUCUUGGCCAGGGCAGGUUCUGGGCAGGAGGGACCCGGCUGUAUUGUCUGCAGGGCGCCUAGGGAGCCCCCCCCUCCCCUUCCCCGCGGCCCGGCGCUCGACACCCCUCGGCCCGGUACCUCAGCCCCAAGGAGCCGCCGCGUCUCCCUCAGUCCCAGCGCAGGCCGAGCCCCCGCCUUGCCCCACGCAACCUGCCCCCCCUCCCGCCAUCCAGGCCCCUUUGUCUCCCCCGCACCGCCGGCUCCGCUCCCCGCGUCCGCCCAGCCCUGCCGCCAGCCAGGAGCCGCCAGCCAGCAGCGCCGCCGCUGCCGCCGCCGGGGGAGGGAGCGUCCGCUCGCCGCUGAGGAGGAGGAGGAGGGAGCGCGAAAAGCAGCUAGGGAGGUGGCCCAGAGAUGUUGCGCCCUCGAGUGUGGCUGUGAUUGCACGGUCUGCGUCGUGGAAGAAGGAGGGAAUCGUUGGAGGUGGUGGCGGUGGUGGCGGCGGGGAGGGGGAGAAGAAGAGAAGACCGGAUUGCAAAUGCUGCCAUCCUCUUCGACAUGCUUGAGACUCCCCCCCUUUUUUUCUCUCUCCCAGCAUGUGCGGCGGGGAAAGGAAGGGUGUCAACGAGGGAGGAAAGCCCCGUUAUGACUGCAGAGUUGGCGCUGGAAAUGUGGAACAGGCUGCGGUGCAAUCAAUGGAGAGCAGCCUCCUGUACGCCAAACUCCCCCCCCCCCCGUUCAAUAGCUAGAGGUAUCGGGUGUUGUUGGAAAAGGCGGGAUUCGUGACUCAGUCAGAGUAUCCAGAUCUCCGAUAGAAGCAGGCACCCUUCUACACCUCUGCAACUCUUUGCUGCAUCCAUUCAGGGCAAAAUAGUUGUAUUUAACCUAUUUCUCAAACAAAGAAGGAGGGAAGGAGGAUUGCUUCUUCUUCUAUAGCGGGGGAAAAAAGUCUUCCUCCUAGGAUGUCUUGUCUAUGCUUAGUUAUGGCUUUGUAUAUCUGUGUGUUGUCUUUUUGUUUUUUUCCCCUGCAGCUCAGUUCAGUUUUGCAUAGGCAUAUGCCUAAUGAGCUUCACGUUAAAGCUGCGGUUGCUUGGGUUUAUGACCAUCGAAGGCAAAAAAUACCAGCCCCCACCCAAAAUGCACCGCAGCCAAGUCCGUGGAAUGAAGAAAUGAGUGUAGCGAGUCAGUAGGGGGCGCGUUCUCAACAUUGGGUAAGGCUGCUGCAGAGGGGGGGAGGGGCCCCAGAUGUACAGAUAGGAGUUGCUACACAGCGCCUUCUACAGGCCUGGGAAAAUGGGCCUAUCACUGCAGGCCAAGUUGCUCUUAGGAGCUGACAGCAGCAUAGGCAAAAGGUUUAGUGAGCAAGAGCAAUGAUUUAAAAAAAUCUGGCCCUCUUGGAAACUCAUGACCAAAGGUGUCAUCCUGAUGUGGUACCUAAAAUCUGUGUCAUCCUUGACCCACAUUACCUGUCUGAAGAUUUUGCUGAAAUUCAGUGAAGCUAAUCUUCAGUGUAUCACUAAAGCUUUCUGAUACUAGUUUAGAAAAUGGAGCUAUAGUGGGUUCCCUAAAUCAGAGGCAUUAAUUCAGGUGGAAGAAUGUGAGGUUCAAUGCACACAGAGUGCUUGUCUCUUUUGUAAACCAUGAUGAGGAAGAGACUGCACUUAAACUUGUUACUGGAGAUAAACAUAUCACUUGUAUGGUUGAGUCUCAUCAUGACAAUAGAGAUAAUUAAGGGUUUCUAUCAUUGAAAUGCUUGUCAAAAGACAGUGAUUUUGUUUGACGGCUACAUGUUGCUUGGAAAACUGGAUAGCUGAGUAGAUGGGUUAUUGGGAGUUUUUGUGAUUAUUAUCUGAUAGAGACUUGUAUUUAUAGAAAAUACAAAAAACUUUAAAUUAUGUUUUGUGACACAAUUUUAUUCUCUAAGUGUCAAUAUUUAGUAGAGAAUAUGUAAAUGGAAACAAUACCUCAUGUGUUACAUAUCAGCUCAUAUGGAAGCAAUUCUUAUAAAACUGUCAAAUUCAGUUUCUUCCUUCAGGAGCUCAACCACCACUUCCUCCAUCUGAACAGAAGUGGUCAUUUAAGUACAUGGCUGUAGUCAUUUAAUUGCUUUUACUGUUAUUUUACUCUCUUUAAAAAAUGACCAAAAAUAAUGGUUUCGUAGGAAAUAACAUAGUUGCAUUACAACCAAUAAGCAAUGACAUCAGAGUAUCUUAAAGAACUCAUAGAACCUUGGCUUCAAAGGUUCAUGUUGCCUUUCUGAGUAUUACCGGUAUGUGUCAUUUUGAGGGAGAUUGUAGAGUACCUUGGUAAACUAAUUGUUUUAGCCAUAAUUUAUAGAAAAAUCAGUAAUCUAGUUUGUGCAUAGGAGUUUAUACAGGCCUGUUCAGAUCACAGCCUAUCUUAGAAGAAAGUAAGAUGUGUAGCUUAACAAAAUGUGUGAAUCAGGCCAUCUUGAAUCCAACUAUAAAUAAUAAAGAUUACAGAGCUGCAUUAAAAAAUACAAUGUUGAAGAUCCAUGUGAAACCAAAUCAUCUGAAAGAUAUUGCUGUAUUAGUUAUGUGUGAGAGAUACCUGUCCAGUAGUAAAGUAUUUCUACUAUUACAUAUGUGUAUGUGUAUUUUGAGUAAAUAAGGUUUUGCAAGCAUACAUCGUUUGCAAGUAACAAUGUCAAUAUUAUAUCAAGAAAGU
ensembl:lncRNA